rnacentral:rRNA from 1 species
CCCGCUCAGAAACUCAAAUGAAUUGACGGGGGCCCGCACAAGCGGUGAGCAUGUGGUUUAAUUCGAUGAUACGCGAGGAACCUUACCUGGGCUCAAAUGUAUGUUGACGUAUUCUGAAAGGGAUACUUCUUCGGACAAUAUACAAGGUGCUGCAUGGUUGUCGUCAGCUCGUGCCGUGAGGUGUCGGGUUAAGUCCCAUAACGAGCGCAACCCCUAUCAUUAGUUGCCAUCAGGUCAAGCUGGGGACUCUAAUGAAACUGCCUACGCAAGUAGUGAGGAAGGUGGGGAUGACGUCAAAUCAGCACGGCCCUUACGUCCAGGGCUACACACGUGCUACAAUGGCCGGUACAAAGGGCAGCUACCUGGUGACAGGAUGCUAAUCUCAAAAGCCGGUCUCAGUUCGGAUCGGAGUCUGCAACCCGACUCCGUGAAGCUGGAAUCGCUAGUAAUCGCGCAUCAGCCAUGGCGCGGUGAAUACGUUCCCGGGCCUU